rnacentral:rRNA from 1 species
CAAUUGGCCUUUAAUUGGGGUCGGGCAUGAAAGGAUAAAUCGAAGUAUUACUGUCUCAAUAAAAUAUAUACUAAUGAAAUUACUUAUUGGGUGAAAAUUCCCAAACAAUAGAUAAUAGACGAGAAGACCCUUAGACUUUCUCCUAGUUAUAUUAAAUUUAUAUGAAGGCUUUGUUGGGGCGACAAAAUGUCAACAUAUAAUUAACACAUUCAUUAAUUUUUCGUAAUUUAACAAGUUUUAUUUCUAAUAAUAGAAGUACCUAAGGGAUAACAGCAUUAUUAAAUUAUUACAUUG